UUUUUCAGGUGUAAGGUGAAUGACGGGCCUUUUUGUCAUCAACUUUAUUGAGAUCGAAACUCAAAACGGUGCGAUGAAAAAAGAAUCCAUUGUGCAAGUAAUUGAUGAAUAUGACAGUUCAGAAAUUGAGAGGUCACUCAUAAGGGGGGACAGCUACAUUUAUAAGUACCAAGAACAGAAAAUACCGUCCGUUGGAUUUUUAUUUAAAAUCAUGAUAACAUGUAAAAUAAACUGUUUUGGGACUAAAUAAAACCUUUAAAUUCA